UACGUAGGGUGCAAGCGUUAAUCGGAAUUACUGGGCGUAAAGCGUGCGCAGGCGGUUUGCUAAGACCGAUGUGAAAUCCCCCGGGCUUAACCUGGGAACUGCAUUGGUGACUGGCAAGCUAGAGUGUGGCAGAGGGGGGUAGAAUUCCACGUGUAGCAGUGAAAUGCGUAGAGAUGUGGAGGAAUACCGAUGGCGAAGGCAGCCCCCUGGGCCAACACUGACGCUCAUGCACGAAAGGCGUGGGGAGCAAACAGG
rnacentral:rRNA from 1 species